rnacentral:rRNA from 1 species
GUCUGGCCGUGCUACCCUUAAUGUGCCCGAUCUCAUUUGAUCUCAGAAGCUAAGCAGGGUCGGGCCUGAUUAGUAUUUGGAUGGGAGACUACCUUGGAAUACAACGUGCUGUAGGCA